rnacentral:rRNA from 1 species
AUUGAACGCUGACGGCAGGCCUAACACAUGCAAGUCGAGCGGCAGCGGGAAAGUAGCUUGCUACUUUUGCCGGCGAGCGGCGGACGGGUGAGUAAUGCCUGGGAAAUUGCCCAGUCGAGGGGGAUAACAGUUGGAAACGACUGCUAAUACCGCAUACGCCCUACGGGGGAAAGCAGGGGACCUUCGGGCCUUGCGCGAUUGGAUAUGCCCAGGUGGGAUUAGCUAGUUGGUGAGGUAAUGGCUCACCAAGGCGACGAUCCCUAGCUGGUCUGAGAGGAUGAUCAGCCAAACUGGAACUGAGACACGGUCCAGACUCCUACGGGAGGCAGCAGUGGGGAAUAUUGCACAAUGGGGGAAACCCUGAUGCAGCCAUGCCGCGUGUGUGAAGAAGGCCUUCGGGUUGUAAAGCACUUUCAGCGAGGAGGAAAGGUCAGUAGCCAAUAUCUGCUGACUGUGACGUUACUCGCAGAAGAAGCACCGGCUAACUCCGCGCCAGCAGCCGCCGUAAAAC